GACGAACGCUGGCGGCGUGCUUAACACAUGCAAGUCGAACGGAAAGGCCCUGCUUUUGUGGGGUGCUCGAGUGGCGAACGGGUGAGUAACACGUGAGUAACCUGCCCUUGACUUUGGGAUAACUUCAGGAAACUGGGGCUAAUAACGGAUAGGAGCUCCUGCUGCAUGGUGGGGGUUGGAAAGUUUCGGCGGUUGGGGAUGGACUCGCGGCUUAUCAGCUUGUUGGUGGGGUAGUGGCUUACCAAGGCUUAGACGGGUAGCCGGCAUGAGAGGGGGACCAGGGUCAAUGCGACUACGGGACGGAGCAGUCGCCUACGGGAGGCAACGGGCGGGAGUCUUGCACAGUGAGCGGACGCCUGAGGCGGCAGCGCCGCGUGCGGGAAGACGGCCUUCGGGUUGAAAACCGCUUUCGCCUGUGACGAAGCUGGAGUGACGGUAAUGGGUAAAGAAGCACCGGCUAACUACGUG
rnacentral:rRNA from 1 species